rnacentral:rRNA from 1 species
UACGGGGGGGGCAAGCGUUGUUCGGAAUUACUGGGCGUAAAGGGCUCGUAGGCGGCCCUCUAAGUCGGAUGUGAAAUCCCCAGGCUCAACCUGGGAAUGGCAUCCGAUACUGGAGGGCUUGAAUCCGGGAGAGGGAUGCAGAAUUCCAGGUGUAGCGGUGAAAUGCGUAGAUAUCUGGAGGAAUACCGGUGGCGAAGGCGGCAUCCUGGACCGGCAUUGACGCUGAGGAGCGAAAGCUAGGGGAGCAAACGGG